rnacentral:tRNA from 1 species
AGUUCAGUGGUCCAGUGGUUAGGCGCUGGUCACGGAACCAAAGGGUCCUGGGUUCGAUCCCCAACGGGGUCG